rnacentral:lncRNA from 1 species
GGUUGGUAGGCUAUUAAUUACUGCCUCAAUUUCAGAACUUGUUAUUGGCCUAUUCAGGGAUUUGACUUCUUCCUGGUGUAGUCUUGGGAGGGUGUAUAUGUCCAGGAAUUUAUUCAUUUCUUCUAGAUUUGCUAGUUUAUUUGCAUAGAGGUGUUUAUAGUAUUCUCUGAUGGUAGUUUGUAUUUCUGUGGGAUCAGUGAUGAUAUCCCCUUUAUCAUUUUUUAUUGUGUCUAUUUGAUUCUUCUCUCUUUUCUUCUUUAUUAUUCUGGCUAGCAGUCUAUAUAUUUUGUUAAUUUUUUCAAAUAACCCGCUCCUGGAUUCAUUGAUUUUUUUGAAGGAUUUUUCGUGUCUCUAUCUCCUUCAGUUCUACUCUGAUCUUAGUUAUUUCUUUUCUUCUGCUAACUUUGAAUUUGUUUGCUGUUGCUUCUCUAGUUCUUUUAAUGGUGACAUUAGGGUGUCGAUUUUAGAUCUUUCCUGCUUUUUCCUGUGGGCAUUUAGUGCUAUAAAUUUCCCUCUUAACACUGCUUUAACUGUGUCCCAGAGAUUCUGUUACAUUGUGUCUUUGUUCUUAUUGGUUUCAAAGAACUUAUUUAUUACUGCCUUAAUUUUGUUAUUUACCCAGUAGUCAUUCAGGAGCAGGUUGUUCAGCUUCCAUGUAGUUGUGCAGUUUUGAGUGAGUUUCUUAAUCCUGAGUUCUAAUUUGAUUGUACUGUGGUCUGAGAGACUGUUUGUUAUGAUUUCCAUUGUUUUGCAUUUGCUGAGGAGUGUUUUACUUCCAAUUAUGUGGUCAAUUUUAAAAUAAGUGUGAUGUGAUGUUGCGAAGAUUGUCUAUUCUGUUGAUUUGGGGUGGAGAGUUCUAUAAAUGUCUAUUAGGUCUGCUUGGUCCAGAGCUGAGUUCGAGUCCUGAAUAUCCUUGUUAAUUUUCUGUCUCGUUGAUCUGUCUGAUAUUGACAGUGGGGUGUUAAAGUCUCCCACUAUUAUUCUGUGGGAGUCUAAGUCUCUUUGUAGGUCUCUAGAACUUACUUUAUGAAUCUGGGUGCUCCUGUAUUGUGUGCAUAUAUAUUUAGGAUAGUUAGCUCUUCUUGUUGCAUUGAUCCCUUUACCAUUAUGUAAUGCCUUUCUUUGUCUUUUUUGAUCUUUGUUGGUUUAAAGUCUAUUUUAUCAAAUACUAAGAUUGCCACCCCUGCUUUAUUUUUGCUUUCAGUUUGCUUGGUAAAUAUUCCUCCAUCCCUUUAUUUUGAGCCUAUGUGUGUCUUUGCAUGUGAGAUGGGUCUCCUGAAUACAGCACACUGAUAGGUCUUGACUCUUUAUCCAAUUUGCCUCUCCGUGUCUUUUAAUUGGGGCAUUUAGCCCAUUUACAUUUAAGGUUAAUAUUGUUAUAUGUUAAUUUGAUCCUGUCAUCAUGAUGAUAGCUGGUUAUUUUGCCCAUUAGUUGAUGCAGUUUCUUCAUAGGGUCAAUGGUCUUUACAAUUUGAUAUGUUUUUGCAGUGGCUGGUAUUGGUUUUACCUUUCCAUAUUUAGUGCUUGCUUCAGGAGCUCUUGUAAGGCAGGCCUGGUGGUGACAAAAUCUCUCAGCAUUUGCUUGUCUGUAAAGGAUUUUAUUUCUCUUUUGCUUAUGAAGCUUAGUUUGGCUGGAUAUGAAAUUCUGGGUUGAAAAUUCUUUUCUUUAAGAAUGUUGAAUAUUGGCCCCCAUUCUCUUCUGGCUUAUAGGGUUUCUGCAGAGAGAUCCACUGUUAGUCUGAUGGGCUUCUCUUUGUGGGUAACCCGACAUUUCUCUCUGGCUACCCUUAAUAUUUUUUCCUUCAUUUCAACCUUGGUAAAUCUGACAAACAUGCGUCUCGUGGUUCCUCUUCUCAAGGAGUAUCUUUGUGGUGUUCUCUAUAUUUCCUACAUUUGAAUGUUGGCCUGUCUUGGUGGGUUGGGGAAGUUCUCCUGGAUGAUAUCCUGAAGAGCGUUUUCCAACUUGGUUCCAUUCUCCCUGUCACUUCCAGGUACACCAAUCAAACAUAGGUUUGGUCUUUUCACAUAGUCUCAUAUUUCUUGGAGGCUUUGUUUGUUCCUUUUCAUUCUUUUUUCUCUAAUCUUGUCUUCACAUUUUAUUUAAGUUGAUCUUCAAACUCUGAUAUCCUUUCUUCCAUUUGAUCGAUUUGGCUGUUGACACUUGUGUAUGCUUCACAAAGUUCUUGUGCUGGGUUUUUCAGCUCCAUCCGGUCAUUUAUGUUCUUCUCUAGACUGGUUAUUCUAGUUAGCACUCCUCUAAUCUUUUUUCAAGGUUCUUAGCUUCCUAUCAUUGGGUUAGAACAUGCUCCUUUAGCUUGGAGGAGUUUGUUAUUACCCACCUUCUGAAGCCUAUUUCUGUCAAUUCAUCAAACUCAUUCUCCAUCCAGUUUUGUUCCCUUGCUGGUAAGGAGUUGUGAUCCUUGGGAGGAGAAGAGGCAUUCUGGUUUUUGGAAUUUUCAGCCUUUUUGUGCUGGUUUUUCCUCAUCUUUGUGGAUUUAUCUACCUUUGGUCUUUGAUGUUGGUGACCUUCACAUGGAGUUUUUGUGUGGGCGUCCUUUUUGUUGGUGUUAAUGCUAUUCCUUUUUGUUUGUUAGUUUUCCUUCUAACAGUCAGGCCUCUCUGCUGCAGGUCUGCUGGAGUUUGCUGGAGGUCCACUCCAGACCCUGUUUGCCUGGGUAUCACCAGCAGAGGCUGCAGAACAGCAAAGACUACAGCCUGUUCCUUCCUCUGGAAGCUUCGUCCCAGAGGGGCACCCGCCAGAUGCCAGCUGGAGCUCUCCUGUAUGAGGUGUCUGUCAACCCCUGCUUGGUGGUGUCUCCCAGUCAGGAGGCAUGGAGGCCAGGGAUCCACUUGAGGAGGCAGUCUGUCCCUUAGCAGAGCUCAAGCACUGUGCUGGGGGAUCCACUGU